CCUACGGGUGGCAGCAGUGAGGAAUAUUGGUCAAUGGGCGCAAGCCUGAACCAGCCAAGUCGCGUGAAGGAAGACGGCCCUAUGGUUUGUAAACUUCUUUUAUCGGGGAGUAAAAGUCGCCACGUGUGGCGUUUUGCAUGUACCCUAUGAAUAAGCAUCGGCUAACUCCGUGCCAGCAGCCGCGGUAAUACGGAGGAUGCGAGCGUUAUCCGGAUUUAUUGGGUUUAAAGGGUGCGUAGGUUGUAUUUUAAGUCAGCGGUGAAAGUUUGUGGCUCAACCUUAAAAUUGCCGUUGAAACUGGAAGUCUUGAGUGUGUGAGAGGUAGGCGGAAUGCGUGGUGUAGCGGUGAAAUGCAUAGAUAUCACGCAGAACUCCGAUUGCGAAGGCAGCUUAC
rnacentral:rRNA from 1 species